rfam:Agrilus planipennis Contig2555, whole genome shotgun sequence.
AAUUCGGUUCUUCUCAGAACCACAAUUUUUCUCCAAACGACUACA